rnacentral:sRNA from 1 species
UUGUUGCUAAUAGGGUUAGUCAUAUC